rnacentral:rRNA from 1 species
AUCGCAUGAUGCAGUGUGAAAAACUCCGGUGGUAUAAGAUGGACCCGCGUUGGAUUAGCUAGUUGGUGAGGUAACGGCCCACCAAGGCGACGAUCCAUAGCCGACCUGAGAGGGUGACCGGCCACAUUGGGACUGAGACACGGCCCAAACUCCUACGGGAGGCAGCAGUGGGGAAUAUUGCACAAUGGGCGAAAGCCUGAUGCAGCGACGCCGCGUGAGCGAAGAAGUAUUUCGGUAUGUAAAGCUCUAUCAGCAGGGAAGAUAAUGACGGUACCUGACUAAGAAGCACCGGCUAAAUACGUGCCAGCAGCCGCGGUAAUACGUAUGGUGCAAGCGUUAUCCGGAUUUGCUGGGUGUAAAGGGAGCGCAGGCGGUGCGGCAAGUCUGAUGUGAAAGCCCGGGGCUCAACCCCGGUACUGCAUUGGAAACUGUCGUACUAGAGUGUCGGAGGGGUAAGCGGAAUUCCUAGUGUAGCGGUGAAAUGCGUAGAUAUUAGGAGGAACACCAGUGGCGAAGGCGGCUUACUGGACGAUAACUGACGCUGAGGCUCGAAAGCGUGGGGAGCAAACAGGAUUAGAUACCCUGGUAGUCCACGCCGUA